UCAGGAUGAACGCUAGCUACAGGCUAACACAUGCAAGUCGAGGGGCAGCAUUGGGAUAGCUUGCUAUUCAGAUGGCGACCGGCGCACGGGUGAGUAACGCGUAUCCAACCUUCCUGCCAGUAGGGAACAGCCCGGCGAAAGUCGGAUUAAUGCCCUAUGUUCUUCAAUGCGGACAUCUAAGUUGAAGGAAAGAUUCAUCGCUGGCAGAUGGGGAUGCGUCCGAUUAGCUUGCCGGCGGGGUAACGGCCCACCGGGGCGACGAUCGGUAGGGGUUCUGAGAGGAAGGUCCCCCACACUGGUACUGAGACACGGACCAGACUCCUACGGGAGGCAGCAGUGAGGAAUAUUGGUCAAUGGGCGUAAGCCUGAACCAGCCAAGUAGCGUGCCAGGAUGACGGCCCUACGGGUUGUAAACUGCUUUUAUGCGGGGAUAAAGUGCGGCACGUGUGCCGCUUUGCAGGUACCGCAUGAAUAAGGACCGGCUAAUUCCGUGCCAGCCGCGGC
rnacentral:rRNA from 1 species